AUGCACUGCUUCCUUAACAGACUUGUGAACCUGUUUAACCCUUUAAUUGUAACCGUUCAUGAUAUCUAACAAUGUGCCUCCCCCCUAUAAGCGAUUUACUUCUGUCGCCCCUAGCUGAGAGUGAUUAAUAGAUUCAGAUAUAAAAGCAAAUGCGAGGCUGCAUACAAUGUUAUAUAAUGGUCGCAUAAAAUAUAGAUCAUGCGAAUGAUGCCAAAAUUUUUUGACCAGAUCUAGGAUUAUUCAGACGUAGAGUAUUCGACUAAACAGUGUGUACAUUAUCAGUUCAUUGUCGGUAAAUAUUUACACAGGUGUUUCAUGAAUGCCAACGAAGGAUAAUGUUUCAAAUGGAAAAAACCAUCGGACGCUAUUAACCGUAUGGCUUAUCAAAACAAACAUAACACACAUAAUUCAAAAAUGUGCGAGUCUAUGAUAUUGAAAAGUACUCACCGACUCCACUAUCACCAAUCAAAACGACUUUAAAAAGAAACAGUGUAUAUGUGAUGUUGGCAAUCCAAGAACACGGAAAAGUACAGCUGCGUCUCUCUUAUUAUACGUCUCAUGAACUGUCCAAUGAUGUAUAUUCCUUUUUAUUUACAGCUUGUUGCUGGGAAAAUAAAUAAAUAAAUACAUAAAAUUUCAAACCUAAAUUUUCCAUUGUUAAACAACUUACGAGAAUUGCUUGCGUGACAUUCUGAAAAGUCACAAUAAACAUAUUCACUCUUCCCCUUAAAA